rnacentral:rRNA from 1 species
GCUCCCUGAUGUUAGCGGCGGACGGGUGAGUAACACGUGGGUAACCUGCCUGUAAGACUGGGAUAACUCCGGGAAACCGGGGCUAAUACCGGAUGGUUGUUUGAACCGCAUGGUUCAGACAUAAAAGGUGGCUUCGGCUACCACUUACAGAUGGACCCGCGGCGCAUUAGCUAGUUGGUGAGGUAACGGCUCACCAAGGCGACGAUGCGUAGCCGACCUGAGAGGGUGAUCGGCCACACUGGGACUGAGACACGGCCCAGACUCCUACGGGAGGCAGCAGUAGGGAAUCUUCCGCAAUGGACGAAAGUCUGACGGAGCAACGCCGCGUGAGUGAUGAAGGUUUUCGGAUCGUAAAGCUCUGUUGUUAGGGAAGAACAAGUGCCGUUCAAAUAGGGCGGCACCUUGACGGUACCUAACCAGAAAGCCACGGCUAACUACGUGCCAGCAGCCGCGGUAAUACGUAGGUGGCAAGCGUUGUCCGGAAUUAUUGGGCGUAAAGGGCUCGCAGGCGGUUUCUUAAGUCUGAUGUGAAAGCCCCCGGCUCAACCGGGGAGGGUCAUUGGAAACUGGGGAACUUGAGUGCAGAAGAGGAGAGUGGAAUUCCACGUGUAGCGGUGAAAUGCGUAGAGAUGUGGAGGAACACCAGUGGCGAAGGCGACUCUCUGGUCUGUAACUGACGCUGAGGAGCGAAAGCGUGGGGAGCGAACAGGAUUAGAUACCCUGGUAGUCCACGCCGUAAACGAUGAGUGCUAAGUGUUAGGGGGUUUCCGCCCCUUAGUGCUGCAGCUAACGCAUUAAGCACUCCGCCUGGGGAGUACGGUCGCAAGACUGAAACUCAAAGGAAUUGACGGGGGCCCGCACAAGCGGUGGAGCAUGUGGUUUAAUUCGAAGCAACGCGAAGAACCUUACCAGGUCUUGACAUCCUCUGACAAUCCUAGAGAUAGGACGUCCCCUUCGGGGGCAGAGUGACAGGUGGUGCAUGGUUGUCGUCAGCUCGUGUCGUGAGAUGUUGGGUUAAGUCCCGCAACGAGCGCAACCCUUGAUCUUAGUUGCCAGCAUUCAGUUGGGCACUCUAAGGUGACUGCCGGUGACAAACCGGAGGAAGGUGGGGAUGACGUCAAAUCAUCAUGCCCCUUAUGACCUGGGCUACACACGUGCUACAAUGGACAGAACAAAGGGCAGCGAAACCGCGAGGUUAAGCCAAUCCCACAAAUCUGUUCUCAGUUCGGAUCGCAGUCUGCAACUCGACUGCGUGAAGCUGGAAUCGCUAGUAAUCGCGGAUCA